rnacentral:rRNA from 1 species
UACGUAGGGGGCAAGCGUUGUCCGGAUUUAUUGGGCGUAAAGAGCGUGUAGGCGGUUAGGUAGGUCCGUUGUGAAAACUCGAGGCUCAACCUCGAGACGCCGAUGGAAACCGUUUGGCUAGAGUCCGGAAGAGGAGAAUGGAAUUCCUGGUGUAGCGGUGAAAUGCGCAGAUAUCAGGAAGAACACCCGUGGCUAAGGCGGUUCUCUAGUACGGUACUGACGCUGAGACGCGAAAGCGUGGGGAGCGAACAGG